GCACGUCUGAGACAUCCAGUACUUGGUGGAAAACCUGUGGAAAAGAGACAGAAAACGUUCAGGGCCAAGGUGACGGUGACCCCCAGCUGUCUCUCAGGAUGAACCACGUGAAGGAUGCUGAGCACCAGCCCCCACCUUGACUCCAUGACCCGGCUGCCCUGGCAUCCCUCCUCCCAGACCUCAAAGGCCCCAGGACGGUGUGAAACAAAGCAGAAAUGAAGCAAUUCUGCCCGUGGAAUCUUCGCCAGCUAGGAAGACAGGGAACGAACGGCUGACCCACACACCAGCUCUCAUUUCUCAGGCCAGAUAGAUGGAGCCCACUUCUUAUUUUCAGAGCUGCAAACACACACCUCAUUUUUCACAGCGAUUGCUAUGGAGCGGUGUGCUCGCUGGGAGCCCGGCAUGUCUGAACCGAUCAGGGAGCAUUUAACCCCAACCCACUCACUCCCCUCCUCUGUCUAAUGACACUGCCCACAGUCCUCUGAAAGCUGUUCCCAGAAACCCCGAUUCCACCCUUGUGAAACUGGGACCAUUUCUAGGAGAGCUGGUGAUUUUCCAAGCCCAAAGGGCAGAGAAAACCCACGAGAGAGACAGCAUGAUAGAUCAAUCAGCAUCAUCGCCAGUGGAAUCUCCUCUAGAUGGGCUAACCAUUAAAUGUCACCAAGUCCGAGCCAUUUGACCAUUUGUUUCAAUUUCUGAGGGAAACAAAAAAGACAAGAAAGAAAAAUGAAUUUUAAAAAAGAGCGAAAGAGAGCUUUCUUUCCAUUGCCACCUCCUCUGGAGACCUCAUUCUGAUAUGGAAAGACAGACGCUCCUUGCUAACUCUCUAAAAUGCAUUCUCCUGCACCGGGGCAGGUACAGAUGGGACAGCUGUGCUGAAGAGAGAGUGGUAGUGUGCACAGAUACCCAGCCUCCUCGUGGGGAGUCUAGAAAACUAGGAGUGCCAAAUGGGCUUCAUCUCAUGGGACAUUGGUAGUGGCUGUCUAGAAAACCGUGUUAAGAAAGAUCCUGAGGCCCAGUAGGAAAGAACACCAUGAUUGAUUAGCAAUGUCUGCCAUGGGUGCAGAAUAAGGGAGCACCAAGGAGUCUCUGUAUCUGCCUCUCCCACAAGGACAGGGACCACACCUUCACCUCUGCAUCACAGAGCCAAAGUAAAUACUUCAGAUGUGUUUGCUGAGUUCAAGAGUAUUAUAACGAAGUGCUGAGUUAGCUGAUCGCUCAAUAUACAUCAGGCAUUAUGCUGUGCAGUUUAUCCCUGGAAACCACGCCCCUGUGCAGCCAGUGUUCACGUUAUUCCCUACAAGGAAGACACAAGGGCUCGGAGAAAUGCAGUGACUUUGCUAAAGGUCGCACAGCUCAGUACCAGCAGAACCUCAAGGAGUAAUUCUGUAAUGGCUCCUAAGUCCUCCAAAGGCCCUACACCAGUGUCCUCCACUAAGGUGACUUCUGCCCCGCCCAGGGGACAAGUGGCAAUAUCUGGAAAUAAUUCUGGCUGUCACACUGGGGUUGGGAGGUGCUACUGACAUCCAGUGGAUAGCAGCCAGGGAUGCUGCUCAACAUCCUGCAACGUACAAGCCAGUCCCUACACCAAAGAAUCAACCAGCCCCAAGUGUUGCAAAUGCCAAGGUUGAGAAUCCCUGAUCUGGAUGUCUUCCACAACUCUAGCCACCUCGCGCCCCCCCCCACCCCUGCCCCAAAAGAAACCAAAACGGUACUUCUGAGGCUCAAGUCUGCAGAGAACAAAUCCUCUUUUAUUAGAAGCACAUCUCACUUUUAGAUUCAUAUCCCAGUUAGGCUGUUAUUCUCAAUUAUAGCACCUUCUCAAGAAGUAGAAGUAAUUAAGUUUAGUUGUUUGGUUUCAUUUCCCAGUAUCUGAUGGAAGGGGUGAAUUCUGUCAAUUACAUUACGCAGCUACAGCAUCAUUAGUCUCAAGCAAUAAUAAUCUCCGUGUGGUUUCGUCCGUGGGUGUGCAGAUGUGAACUUUGAGAUCCCCUCUUUCCUUUCUUCGUGUGGAUUUCAUUAAACUUGCCAACUCAA